GCUGGGCAUGGUGGUGCACACCUGUAAUCCUAGCAAUCUGGGGGGCUGAGACAAGAGCAUCUCAAGUUUGAAACUAGCUUCAGCAAUUUAGCGAGGCCUGAAACAACUUACGGAGAUCUUGUCUCAA
rnacentral:sRNA from 1 species